rnacentral:rRNA from 1 species
UGGACGAAAGUCUGACGGAGCAACGCCGCGUGAGUGAUGAAGGUUUUCGGAUCGUAAAACUCUGUUGUCAGGGAAGAACAAGUACCGGAGUAACUGCCGGUACCUUGACGGUACCUGACCAGAAAGCCACGGCUAACUACGUGCCAGCAGCCGCGGUAAUACGUAGGUGGCAAGCGUUGUCCGGAAUUAUUGGGCGUAAAGCGCGCGCAGGCGGUUCCUUAAGUCUGAUGUGAAAGCCCCCGGCUCAACCGGGGAGGGUCAUUGGAAACUGGGGAACUUGAGUGCAGAAGAGAAGAGUGGAAUUCCACGUGUAGCGGUGAAAUGCGUAGAGAUGUGGAGGAACACCAGUGGCGAAGGCGACUCUUUGGUCUGUAACUGACGCUGAGGCGCGAAAGCGUGGGGAGCAAACAGGAUUAGAUACCCUGGUAGUCCACGCCGUAAACGAUGAGUGCUAAGUGUUAGAGGGUUUCCGCCCUUUAGUGCUGCAGCAAACGCAUUAAGCACUCCGCCUGGGGAG